UCCUCAGUAGCUCAGUGGUAGAGCGGUCAACUGUUAACUGACUGGUCGUAGGUUCCAAUACUACUCGGGGAG
rnacentral:tRNA from 1 species